UUUCCGUAGGUGAACCUGCGGAAGGAUCAUUGCAGAGUUCAUGCCCUCACGGGUAGAUCUCCCACCCUUGAAUAUUUAUACCUUAGUUGCUUUGGCAGGCCGUGGAAACACCAUGGGCUCCGGCUUAUGCGUGCCUGCCAGAGGAAACAAACUCUGUUUUUAGUGAUGUCUGAGUACUAUAUAAUAGUUAAAACUUUCAACAACGGAUCUCUUGGUUCUG
rnacentral:misc_RNA from 1 species